rnacentral:RNase_P_RNA from 1 species
GCUAUGUGGCAGCGCGGCCUUCUGGCCGUGAGGAAAGUCCGAGCAUCACAGGGCAGGGUAGCUGCUAACGGCAGCCGAAGGCGACUUUAGGGAAAGUGCAACAGAGAGAUACCGCCGGAUUUAGUCCGGUAAGGGUGGAAAGGCGAGGUAAGAGCUCACCGGGGCGGGGGAGACCCCGCUGCCAUGUAAACCCUAUCCGAUGCAACACCGACUGGGGGGUUAUCGUUGGCCCGGCGCUCCCGACGGGUGGCUGGAGCAAGGCGGCGACGUCUUGUCGAGAUAGAUUGUCACACACGACAGAACUCGGCUUACCGGCUUGGUCA